GGCCUCUGGGUACUCACCAUGCACAGGGUUCUUGCACUGACUGCACAGUAAGAGGAAAAAGAGUCAAACUACUCUCUGUACACCUUGGCCCAGGACCUGUGCGGGGUCUGCCUUGGAAGUGGAGGUCUUGA
ensembl:snoRNA